rnacentral:rRNA from 1 species
UACGUAGGGUGCGAGCAUUGUCCGGAUUUAUUGGGCGUAAAGGGCGCGUAGGCGGCUCAUGAAGGCUGUGGUGAAAGUCCGGGGCUCAACCUCGGAUCGGCCGUGGCGACUCGUGGGCUGGAGCACUGUAGAGGCGGGUGGAAUUCCGGGUGUAGCGGUGGAAUGCGUAGAUAUUGGGAAGAACACCGGUGGCGAAGGCGGCUCACUGGCUCAUUUUCUGACGCUCAGGCGCGACAGCGUGGGGGAUCAAACAGG